rnacentral:rRNA from 1 species
AAGGGUAGCAAUACCCGAGUAAAGUGGCGCACGGGUGAGUAACACGUGAAUUAUCUACCUCCGAGUGGGGAAUAACUGAGAGAAAUCUUAGCUAAUACCGCAUAACACUUACGAGUCAAAGCAGCAAUGCGCUUGGAGAGGAGUUCGCGGCCGAUUAGUUAGUUGGCGGGGUAAUGGCCCACCAAGACGAUGAUCGGUAUCCGGCCUGAGAGGGCGCACGGACACACUGGAACUGAAACACGGUCCAAACUCCUACGGGAGGCAGCAGUGGGGAAUUUUGCGCAAUGGGGGAAACCCUGACGCAGCAACGCCGCGUGGAGGAUGAAAUCCCUUGGG